ACGCUCGACACCUACGGGAGGCAGCAGUGAGGAAUAUUGGUCAAUGGACGCAAGUCUGAACCAGCCAUGCCGCGUGCAGGAUGACGGCUCUAUGAGUUGUAAACUGCUUUUGUACGAGGGUAAACGCAGAUACGUGUAUCUGUCUGAAAGUAUCGUACGAAUAAGGAUCGGCUAACUCCGUGCCGGCAGCCGCGGUAAUCUGAGCGGGCUGGCAAGGC
rnacentral:rRNA from 1 species